GCAAUAUUUAGCUUGAUUUAGCCACUGCAGUAUAAAGAAAGAAGCAGACCAGAAACCUUUGGCUAAAGCAAAGAUGAUAUGCAUAUCAAAAGCAGUUACAUAAUUUACAAGAGUCUGAAGUUAUGAUGACCAUGCAGAGUCAAGAUAUUGUAACAAAGACAUGCCUGCAUGAAGAAGACCAUUCACUCAAUUUUUCAGAAUAAUGUGUCGGAUUGAAAUUCAUCUUAUGUUGGACAAAACAAUCAUGACAUUCUUCUGGAUCACAGCUAGCACAAAGUAUUGACAAAACCAAAGAUUUAUCAUUACCUGGUAGUCUGCAGAUGGAGUGAUCAUUGGAUGAGCCAGACAACACCAUUUUCCUCAGAAAUUUUAGAAUAUAGACUUGAUCUCCAUCUUCAUUCAUAGAUGACUGAUGUUGACAUUUUCUCACUUCUGUUUCAUGUCUUUUCUACAGCAUGGACUCUCCAGCAUCAGUGGACGCUUGACAUUUAUAAACAUUUAUUCUUCUGAAUUUGAUCUGAUAUCCUUAAAUAUAGGACAAACAAUUCAUUUAUCUUUUAAAAUAUUUUUAAAUUUUACUUAAUAAAACAAUGAAAACGGUUCAAACAAACUGGUUUAUCCUGUAAUCUAAAAGUGUUUUAUGUUUGAAGCAAUUUUUUAAUUUUACAAAACUUAUUAAAAAUCUGUAAAGAUACUUGGAUCCUCAGCCAGGAAGGAUAACUCUUUAAUUUAAUUUUAUUUUUGAUUCACACAAAUUAAACAGAAAUAAUGAUUUGAAAUUAAAGGGCGAGACAGCUCCUUGACAAUGGACCGAGACAGACAUAUCUCAGCCAGGAGGGCGAGACAGCCCUACUCACCAGGUUCUACCAGUCUCACCGAGUCCGAAA